rnacentral:rRNA from 1 species
GACGAACGUUGGCGGCGUGCCUAAUACAUGCAAGUCAACUGAAAUACCGGUAGCAAUACUGGUAUGGAGGUGGCGCACGGGUGAGUAACACGUAGGUAAUCUGCCUUCAGGUCUGACAUAACCCAUCGAAAGGUGAGCUAAUAUCAGAUGAUGCAGCGGCUUGACAUCAAGACAGUUGUUAAAGCUUCGGCGCCUGAGGAUGAGCCUGCGUCUGAUUAGCUAGUU